AAAUUUUGCGAAGAACCCCUCCCGCAGAGGCAUACCCCAAGUCCCCAACCCGCAAUGCCCUGUCUCAUCUCUCUUUCCCCCGCCGCCGCCGCACCACAGAGCUCGCCGCAUGCGCCUCCCUGCUCAUCUCCGUCGAUAGAGCUCGAGUCCCUACCAUCUCAACGCCAUUGCUAGAUCUCAGGGAGAGAAAGUGCGGAGGAGCACGGGUCCCAUAUACAGAGGAGUGCGCCCAGAUCUACGGAGGCGACGACAUGUGGCCAUGGAGACAAAGCGGUCGCUGCAGCAGUGCUCGCGUGCUCGGAGCGGAAGACCGGAGGCGACGACGCGAACCAGGGUACGACCAGGAAGCUUAUUCUAUACCUUAUUAGGCUUAGCUUCUUUCGCUUCUCCUUUCCUCAAGUUUUGUGUGCCAUGUAAAGGGAGGUCCUCCGCAUAGAUCUCGCGAUGGCUGUUAGAUCCUCGACGAGCACCACCAGAUCCAUGCCUGAGGAUGAGGAGCGGUGCUAUGGUGGCGGAGAGCUACAGUGAGGUUGGGAGCGAGGUGCGCCUGUGCUGGCAAGUAGCACACGGUAGAAGCCUGACUGCACCGCACUGGACAACAUCUACUUCCGCUCCUCUACACCUCCCAAUGGCUCCAUUGUCUGGCUCCACAACCUCUCCACCAAAGCCAUCUCCUUUCUGGUGUGUGAUCUGUGCCCCCAUCAAUCCAUCUCCAAUCAAGAGUAUGCCUACUCUGAAUGAUCAUACUCCACAUGACUAAGAGGCUGCAAAGGAUCACUACAUAGUGAGUUUGUAAGUGGAUCUAUGAUUUUUACCUAUAUGUACCUAAUAAUUAGUUUCUGUUUUGAUUUCCUGCUCUCUUAGGUCAUUACUCAUUAGUGAAGGACACUGCAAGGUCGAAUUGGUGUCUUUGCCCACUGCUCUGAGCUUCCUAGAUUUCGGAUGGCAUUUGUCUGCUGCUGCUAGGAUCGUCUUUUGGUUAUUGCUGCGUUUCUAAAUAAAUCUGCUAUAGAUACAAAUUUUGACUCAGUUUGAUAAUAAGGGGGCUAAGGUUUAAGAUACACUUAUGAGAUUAAUUUCCUUUAUAUAUGGGCUGUUUUAGUAUAUCAUAUUACUAUUUUCAUCAUGGAGAUUCAGAUCCACUUCUCAGAUAAUGUAAUUGUUUUGGUAACCAGGUAACUUCUGAUUUCUAUCAAGAGCCUAUGACCUAUCCAAAAGAAAGGGAUUAAUUUGGACUAUGCUUGAGGUAUAUAUAUAUAUAUGACAAUUCAAUCUACAUAUUUAAUUUUAAGAAAGGGAUUAAUUUGGACUAUGCUUGAGGUAUAUAUGACAAUUCAAUCUACAUAUUUAAUUUUAUUCUGGCACCACAUAGCAAACACAUAGGUAUGCUAAUUUGGAACCAUGUUGUUGUACUCCCGAUCAGUUAAGACUUAAGACUCAGGUGUAGUGCUCCAGUCUGGUUACUGACUCAGGCUGCACAUGCUGAGUUGAGAUAAAUCAUUGUGGAGCAGCACAUGCAGUUGAGAUGGGUUAGGUAUUUUCAAACAAUGGAGAUCUGUGUACCAUACAAUUUGGUGGAUUAUGCUUAACUUGUGCCCUUCUAAUUAAAAAAAAAUUGUGUUCUCAUAGUUUGUAUCUGGUGCACUGAUAUUAGGUUCUAGGUUUUUGUUUUACGUUUUGUUCCUUGUGGCCAUGUGAACGAAUAGUCCAAUACUUUUCCAUUUUCCCUAGAUAUGUCAGAAGUGGUAUCACUUGGGUAAUUCUUUGAUAUUUUCCUCUACUUUUUUGCAUCGUUUGCUUAAUGCAUGGGCCUUGUUGGAGUAGCUUGUAGAAAAGCUAAUUUGCAGACAGCUUGUAAGAUGUCUCUUUUAAGGUUAGCUAUAAGAUUAAAUUUUCUAUAAUAGUCUUGCUCUUGAGUUGGAAAUUUGUGAUCCUAUCCAAGAUACGUGUGGUUGCUGCAUCUGCUCUCAUUCACCGUAGAUUAAGAUUGCUAUACUGAUUUGGUGCAUUCUCUGCAGGUACAUAAAGAUAAGUUCACGGGAAAUGUGUGGAUCCCUGCUUCAUCGCUGUCAAUGACUUCUCGACCCAGCCGGUGUUGAGGGGUUUAUAGGAGUAUAAAUUGAUGUAAAGUGCACCUCGAUCUAAGAGAUAUGUAGACAUGUUUUUUCUUUAAAUCUCACCCCUAUAUUGACCUUUAAGACUGUACAAUGACCUUUUCAAGCGAUGCCUGAUGAAAAUUCUUCAAAGAUAUUUGAUGACAUUUGUG
rnacentral:lncRNA from 1 species